GAUGAACGCUGGCGGCGUGCCUAAUACAUGCAAGUCGAACGCAUUGUGGUUGAAAUGAUAUGAAGAACUUGUUCAGAUUUGAUUUUCAACAUUGCAAUGAGUGGCGAACGGGUGAGUAACACGUGGGAAACCUACCUCUUAGCAGGGGAUAACAUUUGGAAACAAAUGCUAAUACCGUAUAAUAAUUAAAACCGCAUGGUUCUAGUUUAAAAGAUGGUCUUGCUAUCACUAAGAGAUGGUCCCGCGGUGUAUUAGUUAGUUGGUGAGGUAAUGGCUCACCAAGACAAUGAUACAUAGCCGAGUUGAGAGACUGACCGGCCACAAUGGGACUGAGACACGGCCACUA
rnacentral:rRNA from 1 species